rfam:Erinaceus europaeus cont1.604112, whole genome shotgun sequence.
CUCACUCGGUGUUCUCACCGAAAGCACGUAAUCGCUGGUGUAACUCAUGUUGGCUGGGGGGCCUCCUGGCGCGCUGCGAACUGGGGUGCGCCCCU